AGGCAGCAGUGAGGAAUAUUGGUCAAUGGCCGAGAGGCUGAACCAGCCAAGUCGCGUGAAGGAAGAAGGAUCUAUGGUUUGUAAACUUCUUUUAUAGGGGAAUAAAGUGGAGGACGUGUCCUUUUUUGUAUGUACCCUAUGAAUAAGCAUCGGCUAACUCCGUGCCAGCAGCCGCGGUAAUACGGAGGAUGCGAGCGUUAUCCGGAUUUAUUGGGUUUAAAGGGUGCGUAGGUGGUGAUUUAAGUCAGCGGUGAAAGUUUGUGGCUCAACCAUAAAAUUGCCGUUGAAACUGGGUUACUUGAGUGUGUUUGAGGUAGGCGGAAUGCGUGGUGUAGCGGUGAAAUGCAUAGAUAUCACGCAGAACUCCGAUUGCGAAGGCAGCUUACUAAACCAUAACUGACACUGAAGCACGAAAGCGUGGGGAUCAAACAGGAUUAGAUACCCUGGUAGUCCACGCAGUAAACGAUGAUUACUAGGAGUUUGCGAUACAAUGUAAGCUCUACAGCGAAAGCGUUAAGUAAUCCACCUGGGGAGUACGCCGGCAACGGUGAAACUCAAAGGAAUUGACGGGGGCCCGCACAAGCGGAGGAACAUGUGGUUUAAUUCGAUGAUACGCGAGGAACCUUACCCGGGUUUGAACGUAGUCUGACCGGAGUGGAAACACUCCUUCUAGCAAUAGCAGAUUACGAGGUGCUGCAUGGUUGUCGUCAGCUCGUGCCGUGAGGUGUCGGCUUAAGUGCCAUAACGAGCGCAACCCUUAUCACUAGUUACUAACAGGUGAAGCUGAGGACUCUGGUGAGACUGCCAGCGUAAGCUGUGAGGAAGGUGGGGAUGACGUCAAAUCAGCACGGCCCUUACAUCCGGGGCGACACACGUGUUACAAUGGCAUGGACAAAGGGCAGCUACCUGGCGACAGGAUGCUAAUCUCCAAACCAUGUCUCAGUUCGGAUCGGAGUCUGCAACUC
rnacentral:rRNA from 1 species